AUUGAACGCUGGCGGCAGGCCUAACACAUGCAAGUCGAACGGUAACAGGAAACAGCUUGCUGUUUCGCUGACGAGUGGCGGACGGGUGAGUAAUGUCUGGGAAACUGCCUGAUGGAGGGGGAUAACUACUGGAAACGGUAGCUAAUACCGCAUAACGUCGCAAGACCAAAGAGGGGGACCCUCGGGCCUCUUGCCAUCGGAUGUGCCCAGAUGGGAUUAGCUUGUUGGUGGGGUAACGGCUCACCAAGGCGACGAUCCCUAGCUGGUCUGAGAGGAUGACCAGCCACACUGGAACUGAGACACGGUCCAGACUCCUACGGGAGGCAGCAGUGGGGAAUAUUGCACAAUGGGCGCAAGCCUGAUGCAGCCAUGCCGCGCGUAUGAAGAAGGCCUUCGGGUUGUAAAGUACUUUCAGCGGGGAGGAAGGGAGUAAAGUUAAUACCUUUGCUCAUUGACGUUACCCGCAGAAGAAGCACCGGCUAACUCCGUG
rnacentral:rRNA from 1 species